rnacentral:rRNA from 1 species
AACGAACGCUGGCGGCGCGCCUAAUACAUGCAAGUCGAGCGAGAAGACGUAGCAAUACGUUUGUAAAGCGGCGAACGGGUGAGGAAUACAUGGGUAACCUACCCUCGAGUGGGGAAUAACUAGCCGAAAGGUUAGCUAAUACCGCGUACGCUCCUUGGACUUCGGUUCAGGGAGGAAAGCGAUACCGUGGGUAUCGCGCUCUUGGAUGGGCUCAUGUCCUAUCAGCUUGUUGGUGAGGAACGGCUCACCAAGGCUUCGACGGGUAGCUGGUCUGAGAGGACAAUCAGCCACACUGGCACUGCGACACGGGCCAGACUCCUAUGGGAGGCAGCAGUGGGGAAUCUUGCGCAAUGGGCGAAAGCCUGACGCAGCGACGCCGCGUGCGGGAUGACGG